AUUCAUAUUUGUAUUUUAUUUAUUUAUUAUUUAAAUAGUAAGAACAAAAUUAUUUAAUUUUUUUACCAGCGACCCAGUAAAUCAUUUAUUUUUAUUUUAAAGUCAUUUUUUAAAAUUAAAAAAAAACUCCUUUAGCCAUUGGUGGAGUACCACUUGGUUUUAUUUUCAUUUUUUUUUCUUUUUUCUUUUUUUUUUCUUUUUCUUCUCUCUCAACUUCUUUUCCUUUCUUUCUUUUAUUUUUUCUCUCUCCUCUCUUUCCUUCUUUUCUCUCUCCGCGUUUACUUCUUUUUCUCUCUCCUCUCUUUCCUUCUUUUCUCUCUCCACGUUUUCUUCUUUUUCCUCUCACUCUCAGUAUUCUCUUUUUUUUCCUUUCUCUCUUUCCUCUUUUCUUCACAUCUUACACUUACACAAAAAAAUAUCUAACAUAAAAUAUAUUAAAUUUCUUUCAUCAAAAACUCACUCUUUCUCUACUAUUCAUAAACCGCCCAACCCAUAAUAUCUCUUUCAAAUCUCAUUAUCAUCACCACAAAAAAGGAAGUUUUGAUCAAAAAAAAAAUAAUAAUAUUUUUCCACUUCUUCAACCACCAAGCAACAACAAAACUGAGAAAAAAUAUUUUCACUUUUCAAUCUCUCAAACACAACUCAACUCUAUCUUCAACAUAACACACAAAAACUUCAUUCAUAUUAUUUACUAAAUAUCAUCAUCAUCACAAACCAACUCCAAAUUUCUCCGCCAUCGUUUUCAACCGACACCAAAUCACCACCGCAUCGGAACACCUUUUUGUUGGAGAAAACUACACAACAACGAACCGUCACUCUUCAGGUUGCAAACCGCCAGAUCCUUUGACUAACGGUAAGUGAGAGAGGGGAACAAUGUAGUUUUGUUGUUUUUAAUUUUGAUGUUGAUUUUUUUUUUUUUGAAACAUUGGAGGAGGAGAGUUUCCUUUUUUUAUAUAAAUUCUUUUUUUCAAAAGAAAGAAAACAAGAUAUAUGUUGUUAUUGCUAGACUGGUGCGGACAAGAAGAGGAAAUUGUUUAAACUUUUUAUUUUUUAUUUUUCUUUCCUUGCUGUUAUCCUCUUACCGUCAUUGUCCCCUUUUUCUUUUCAUUUUUCUUAAAUUAUUAUUUGUUCUUGUCUUUUUAUAUUUAUUUUUAUUAUUGAUUAAUAUUGUUAUUGAUUAAUAUUAUUAUUGAUUGAAUAUUAUCUAUUUAUUAUUAUCAUUACUAUUAGUAUAUAUUAUUAUAUAUAUUAUCAUGACUAUUAUUACUAAUAUUAUUAUUAUUAUUAUUAUUAUUAUUAUUCAUUAGUAUAUUAUUAUUAUUUCAUUUAAUUAUUAUUGUCAAAAUUAUUAAUUUGUCAUUAUUGUUGUUAUUAUUAUAAUAAUAGUUUUUUUUAUUAUUAUUUAUUGUUAACUAUUUUUGUUGAUUAUUUUAUUUAUUAUUUAUUAUUAUUGUUGUUAUUAUUUAAAAUGCUUGAUAGUACGAGAUGAAAGCUCAACCUACACCAUUAUUAUUCUGUACACUUUUAUGGUUUUUUUUAAUCUUUCUAAAACAACAACUUUGUGUUGUUAACUUAUAGCAGCUUCUGUAAUUGGACAAACUAACCAUUAGUUGAUUUUGAUGAAAUAAGGCUACCAAAUAGCAUUGCUCUAGUAUUAUUGUUUAUUAUCAAUUAUUAUUAUUAUUAUUAUUAUUAUUAUUAUUAUUAUUAUUUUAUUUUUAUUAUUUAUCAUUAUUUUUAUUAAUUAUUUAUUGAUUAAAUUGUUAUAAAAAAUUCGAUUUAUUUGUCCCGUCGGUUUUUCAUAAAUGCGUAGCAAUUUUGAAGUUAAAAUUCAAUUUAAUUGCAGGAAUUUGCUUAUACGCAUAAAGUCUUAUUGACCGUCUCAGAUAUGGUGAUUCCCUACAUGAAUCGCCUUACAAAUGUUCAAUACAGUGCUAAAUUUUUUGGUUUAACUUUUGAUUUUAUUUCGUCCCUUGGCUUUCUCUUGGGCCUUCUUACAACGAGAUUCUUUUAUUUUUUUCAAUUGUCUUUCAAAACUUAUAUCAUUUAAUUAUCGUAUCGUAUCCCCAUUCGAUAAACUGUAUCCCCAUUCCCGAAAAUUUGUAAUAAAUUUACCGCUUUUAUUUACUUUAUUGUAUUAGCUGAUUGUUAAUUCAAAGAUUAAAAUCAAUCAUUUUUAGAAAAGAACAAAAAACAAAUACUGGAUCCAACGUCGAACAAUUUUCAAAAAAAACUAGAAACCAUUUUCAUAUUCCACUUUCUCCGUCAUUUUUAAAACUUUCAAAUCAUUUUAUUCUAUUCGAUUCAAACGCAAGAAAUAAAAAACCUCGAUCCAACAUCGAGUGCCUUUUCCCUAGUCAAUUCAAAAUACCUAAUUUAUUUAAACAUUAUUCAAAAAAGAUGAAAAGGGAGAUGGUCUCGAGUCUUCCGAUUCCUCUCCCCAAUUACUUGGAUACGAGUAGCCUUACUCGGCGAUUCGAGUAAUCGUCAUCAAACUCUUUCAUAAUCAAACCUUAAAUUAAACUCAUUUUCGUAAAAACUGGUACGAAAAAGGAGUGGUCUGGAGCCUUCCAUUCCUUCUCGAGUACUUGGAUACGAGUAGCCUUACUCGGUCAUUCGAGUAUUUGUCGUCCGUACAAAAUACAUUAAGCUUAUUUAAAUCCUUUUGCAAUUAAGGAUGAAAAUGGAGAUGGUCUAGAGCCUUUAUUUCUCUUCUCGAGUACUUGGAUCAAGUGCCUUACUCGGCCAUUCGAGUAAUCAUCUCCAAAUAAAACACUCAAACAAUCAAACUUGUUUUCCGCCCUCCGCGACCAUGAAAACAUUUUCAGAAAAGAGUAUAUGCAACAUCCAUUUGGAUGCGAAACAACAAAGACUUCAGCCUCCAAGAACGAGCAACAAGUAAAGGUUUAAUUCGCUCAAAUGUAAUCCAGCAUCACUCUCUUUAAAAGCAAUCCACCCAGUAGUUCUCUUUGGGCAGAACUACGUUUGCCUUGAGUUCUUCAUAGCACCUGGAGAUACGUAGGAGGCAGGAUGCGAAAUCUUGUCAGGCACAUUAAUAUUAAAAAACCUAAGUCUUUCCUUUCUUUCUUUCUUUUUCUCGCCCGAUAAGUAGAAGAUAAUAAUUAACAUUAGCUAAACACUCUCAAAUAAAUUUAACUAAGUGGUUCCCGUUGAGUACAACGGACGUGAGGGGUGCUAAUACUUCCCCUUGCGUAACCGACUCCCGAACCCGAAUUUGGUUUGUGACGACCAUUUCCUUUUUAUUGUUUAAUUCGUGGGUUUUAUCGAUAUUUUCCCUUUCCUUCAUUGGAAUAAAUAAGUUCGGUGGCGACUCUGUUCGAACAUCUUCUUCCGUGAGCGUGCGAGCGUCUCACGAAGGAUCGCGUUUUUUCGAGAUGCGACACUCAGAGGUAAUUAUCUUCCACCUUAAUUUUUGUUUUAUAAUUAUACAUCUAGUAGUUUGAGUAAUAACUCAAUUAUUCUCUCUUUUUUAGCUAACAAUCCCCUUUGGAAGAUAAUUGAUGAAAGUGGGAUAAGCCAACUUCAUAGGCCAUUACAUGUUGCAGGCCUUUAUUUGAACCCCUCUGUGGUAUGCUUCGGGAUUCACUAUUGAUAAUGAAGUUACAAAUGGCUUGUAUGAAUGUUUGCUAGAAUGGUGGAAGAUCCAGAACAAAGAGGCAUGAUUGAUCUUCAACUUAGGAUUUCAAGGGAAGUUGGAUCUUUUGGUAGUGAGUUUCUACAUUUGCACUUCAAACUAAAACACCAACACAAUGUGGGAUUCUUAUGGAGGCGGUCAUCCUGAAUUGCAAUGGUUUGCUGUUGAGAGUUUCAGCUUGACAUGUAGCUCAUCAGGAUGUGAAGGCCACUGAAGUACUUUGAAGGGUAAGUUUUCAAAUUUAUUGAACAAUUGUAUUCUAAAUAUCUAUUGUGUGUUAAUUCAUUUGUGUAUAAUAUCUAGGUUCACACAAGAAGCAGAAUCACUUAAAACAAAACACGAUGAAUAGUUUUGUGAUGACUAACUCAAAUUGGGAAAAAAAGAAGAAAAUAGAAAGAAUGCUAACUAUGAGGUUUGAUGAAAUUGAUUCUGAAAAUGAAGGGAAGAAUGGAUUGAGAAUGUGGAGGAUAAUGAAGAUGAUAAAGAUAUUACCCUUGUUGUUGGAGAAGAUGCUAGUGGUAUUGGUAAUGAUUUAGAUGUUCCUUCCAUUAUUGAAGAUGAUGCCUUUGAAUUGGAAGAGAAUGAGGAGGAGGAGGAUCCAUAUGACUAUCAUGAUAUGAGAAUCACAUAAUAUUUAGAUGAUUAGACUUGUUUGUUAGAUUUAUGUCUUGUUUGUUUAUAUUUAUGUUUUUUGAGCUACUUAUUUUGAACCUGGUCUUUUGAACUUAUUGAAUUAUAAAAUUAUGGUUAUGAGUUGUUAAUUAAAUUGCGUUUACGUGUUAUGAUUUGUAGGUUAUUUUGUUCAUGUAUUAUAAAUUUUCAUAUUUUUCCACGUGAAAUUACCAUUUUACCCUUCGGUAAGAUCUUAAGUGUCGUGCUACAAUCCUAAUUUACGAUCUUUAAUAGGCCGCUCCGACUCCUAUUUAAGAUCCCGUGCCUGACUACCUGCCAUCUCAGUCCCAAGGCGACAACACUCAGAGGUGUUAAACUGAUCUUCUCUCUAUCUUUGUCUUUUCAUAUGAUUUUAAAAAAAACUAAAACAUAUAAGUAAUAUAAGUAAUGUUUGUAAGUUAGAUAUAUAAAAACUAUUAUUUUAAAUAUUUUGAAAUUUGAAAAUAUUUGGUGGUCAAAACUAUAAGUACGUCAAAAACAACAGAUUAUAGAUNGUUAACUUAUAGCAGCUUCUGUAAUUGGACAAACUAACCAUUAGUUGAUUUUGAUGAAAUAAGGCUACCAAAUAGCAUUGCUCUAGUAUUAUUGUUUAUUAUCAAUUAUUAUUAUUAUUAUUAUUAUUAUUAUUAUUAUUAUUAUUAUUAUUUUAUUUUUAUUAUUUAUCAUUAUUUUUAUUAAUUAUUUAUUGAUUAAAUUGUUAUAAAAAAAUUCGAUUUAUUUGUCCCGUCGGUUUUUCAUAAAUGCGUAGCAAUUUUGAAGUUAAAAAUUCAAUUUAAUUGCAGGAAUUUGCUUAUACGCAUAAAGUCUUAUUGACCAGUCUCAGAUAUGGUGAUUCCUACAUGAAUCGCCUUACAAAUGUUCAAUACAGUGCUAAAUUUUUUGGUUUAACUUUUGAUUUUAUUUCGAAUCCCUUGGCUUUCUCUUGGGCCUUCUUACAACGAGAUUCUUUUAUUUUUUUCAAUUGUCUUUCAAAACUUAUAUCAUUUAAUUAUCGUAUCGUAUCCCCAUUCGAUAAACUGUAUCCCCAUUCCCGAAAAUUUGUAAUAAAUUUAC
rnacentral:lncRNA from 1 species